GGGCCCGUAGUUCACUGGUAGAACGUGUCAUUUGCAAUGACAAUGUAGGAGGUUCGAUUCCUCUCGGGUCCA
rnacentral:tRNA from 2 species